AAGUCGUAACAAGGUUUCCGUAGGUGAACCUGCGGAAGGAUCAUUACCGAGUUAGGGUCCUCUGGGCUCGACCUCCUACCCUUUGUCUACCUUACCUUUUGUUGCUUCGGCGGAUCCGUCCUUUCGAGGACCGCCGGAGGGGCGUAAACACCCCUCUGGCCCGCGUCCGCCGGUGGCCCACAACUAAAAACUCUUGUUUAAACGUGUCGUCUAAGUACAAGAAAACAAAUAAAGUAAAAACUUUCAACAACGGAUCUCUUGGUUCUG
rnacentral:misc_RNA from 1 species